GACAGAGGGUGCAAACGUUGUUCGGAAUUACUGGGCGUAAAGCGCGUGUAGGCGGUUUGGUAAGUCGGAUGUGAAAGCCCCGGGCUCAACCCGGGAAGUGCACUCGAUACUGCCAAGCUAGAGUGUCGGAGAGGUUGGUGGAAUUCUCGGUGUAGAGGUGAAAUUCGUAGAUAUCGAGAGGAACACCGGUGGCGAAGGCGGCCAACUGGACGAACACUGACGCUGAGACUCGAAAGCGUGGGGAGCAAACAGG
rnacentral:rRNA from 1 species